rfam:Astyanax mexicanus chromosome 21, whole genome shotgun sequence.
CCAACGGCUCUUUUAAGAGCCACCUACCUGUGUCCGUGCCAAAAGAG